rnacentral:rRNA from 1 species
UACAGAGGGUGCUAGCGUUGUUCGGAAUCAUUGGGCGUAAAGGGCGUGUAGCGGUUUGUUAGUCAUGUGUGAAAUCCCUCGGCUCAACCGGGGAACGACGCAUGAAAACUGGCAGCUAGAGUACCAAAGAGGGGGGUGGAAUUCCCGGUGUAGCGGUGGAAAUGCGUAGAUAUCGGGAGGAACACCUGUGGCGAAGGCGGCCCCCUGGUUGGAUACUGACGCUGAUAGCGAAACGUGG